rnacentral:rRNA from 1 species
AUGGUAGGAUAGAGGCCUACCAUGGUGGUAACGGGUAACGGGGUGUUAGGGCACGACACCGGAGAGGGAGCCUGAGAAACGGCUACCACAUCCAAGGAUGGCAGCAGGCGCGCAAAUUACCCAAUCCCGACACGGGGAGGUAGUGACAAUAAAUAACAAUACGGGGUUCUUUAGGAUCUCGUAAUUGGAAUGAGUACAAUUUAAAUCUCUUAACGAGGAACAGUUGGAGGGCAAGUCUGGUGCCAGCAGCCGCGGUAAUUCCAGCUCCAAUAGCGUAUAUUAAAGUUGUUGCAGUUAAAAAGCUCGUAGUUGAAUUUCGGGGUCAGUAGGUCGGUCGUGCCACUGGUAUGAACUGGUUUUACUGAUUCCUCCCUCUUGAAGAACUGUAAUGCCAUUAAUUUGGUGUUGCAGGGAAUCAGGACUGUUACUUUGAAAAAAUUAGAGUGUUUAAAGCAGGCUUUAGCUUGAAUACAUUAGCAUGGAAUAAUGAAAUAGGACGUUUGAUCCUAUUUUGUUGGUUUCUAGGAUUGACGUAAUGAUUAAUAGGGAUAGUUGGGGGCAUUAGUAUUCAAUUGUCAGAGGUGAAAUUCUUGGAUUUAUUGAAGACUAACUACUGCGAAAGCAUUUGUCAAGGAUGUUUUCAUUAAUCAAGAACGAAAGUUAGGGGAUCGAAGACGAUCAGAUACCGUCGUAGUCUUAACCAUAAACUAUGCCGACUAGGGAUCGGAUGAUGUUAAUUUUUUAAUGACUCAUUCGGCGCCUUACGGGAAACCAAAGUGUUUGGG